rnacentral:misc_RNA from 1 species
GUAUUUCAUUGCGUUAAACGCGACAUACAUUCCAUAAGACUUUGUUACAGUGUGUGUGUAAAUACAUAGAACCACAGCAGGGGGGACGGAGCCCCACAGGCCAUAGAACUACAGAGGGUGCACAGGUGUGAGUGGAUGUGUAAACAGAGCGUGCACAUGCCCCCUUUCGAGGACCAGCAACAACUCGUGUCGACAGUUCAGUAAUGAUCCUUCCGCAGGUUCACCUACGGAAA